rnacentral:pre_miRNA from 1 species
CUGUGGUGCAUUGUAGUUGCAUUGCAUGAUCCUCAGCCCGGUGCAAUGUGCCUUCAGUGCAGUACAG